rnacentral:tRNA from 1 species
GGAAAUGUGCCCGAGACAUUAAGGGAUACUUUGAUAGAGUACACUACAGAGACUAACCCCUCUCAUUUCCU